rnacentral:rRNA from 1 species
UACGGAGGGGGGUUAGCGUUGUUCGGAAUACUGGGCGUAAAGCGCACGUAGGCGGAUCAGAAAGUUGGGGGGUGAAAUCCCGGGGCUCAACCCCGGAACUGCCUCCAAAACUCCUGGUCUUGAGUUCGAGAGAGGUGAGUGGAAUUCCGAGUGUAGAGGUGAAAUUCGUAGAUAUUCGGAGGAACACCAGUGGCGAAGGCGGCUCACUGGCUCGAUACUGACGCUGAGGUGCGAAAGUGUGGGGGAGCAAAACAGGAUUAGAUACCCCCGGUAGUCC